rnacentral:rRNA from 1 species
AGUCGAGCGGCAGCGGGAGGUAGCUUGCUACUUUUGCCGGCGAGCGGCGGAUGGGUGAGUAAUGCCUGGGGAUCUGCCCAGUCGAGGGGGAUAACCGGUGGAAACGACCGCUAAUACCGCAAACGCCCUACGGGGGAAAGCAGGGGACCUUCGGGCCUUGCGCGAUUGGAUGAACCCAGGUGGGAUUAGCUAGUUGGUGAGGUAAUGGCUCACCAAGGCGACGAUCCCUAGCUGGUCUGAGAGGAUGAUCAGCCACACUGGAACUGACACACGGUCCACACUCCUACGGGAGGCAGCAGUGGGGAAUAUUGCACAAUGGGGGAAACCCUGAUGCAGCCAUGCCGCGUGUGUGAAGAAGGCCUUCGGGUUGUAAAGCACUUUCAGCGAGGAGGAAAGGUUGGUACCUAAUAACUGCCAGCUGUGACGUUACUCACAAAAGAAGCACCGGCUAACUCCGUGCCAGCAGCCGCGGUAAUACGGAGGGUGCAAGCGUUAAUCGGAAUUACUGGGCGUAAAGCGCACGCAGGCGGUUGGAUAAGUUAAAUGUGAAAGCCCCGGGCUCAACCUGGGAAUUGCAUUUAAAACUGUCCAGCUAGAGUCUUGUAGAGGGGGGUAGAAUUCCAGGUGUAGCGGUGAAAUGCGUAGAGAUCUGGAGGAAUACCGGUGGCGAAGGCGGCCCCCUGGACAA